rnacentral:rRNA from 1 species
UACGUAGGGUGCGAGCGUUGUCCGGAAUUAUUGGGCGUAAAGAGCUCGUAGGCGGUUUGUCGCGUCGACUGUGAAAACCCGAGGCUUAACCUCGGGCCUGCAGUCGAUACGGGCAGACUAGAGUUCGGUAGGGGAGACUGGAAUUCCUGGUGCAGCGGUGAAAUGCGCAGAUAUCAGGAGGAACACCGGUGGCGAAGGCGGGUCUCUGGGCCGAUACUGACGCUGAGGAGCGAAAGCGUGGGGAGCGAACAGG